rnacentral:rRNA from 1 species
CUUUGAGAGUUUGAUCCUAGCUCAGGGUGAACGCUGGCGGCAUGUCUUAGGCAUGCAAGUCGAACGGUCGUGCCGCAAGGCACGGUAGUGGCAAACGGGAGCAUAACACACUGGUAAUCUACCCUUAAGUCGGGUAUAACCUGCCGAAAGGCGGACUAAUUCCCGAUGGUCUCCGAUGACUCAUGUUGUCGGAGUAAAGGUCGCAAGAUCACUUAAGGAGGAGCCUAUGUCCCAUCAGCUAGUUGGUAGGGUAAUGGCCUACCAAGGCAACGACGGGUAGCGGGUGUGAGAGCAUGACCCGCCUCACUGGGACUGAGACACUGCCCAGACUCCUACGGGAGGCUGCAGUCAAGAAUAUUCCGCAAUGGCCGAAAGGCUGACGGAGCAAUGCCGCGUGCCGGAAGACGCCCCUUGGGGUGUAAA